GGUUGCGUAGCUCAGCUGGAUAGAGCAUCUGCCUUCUAAGCAGACGGUCGCAGGUUCGAAUCCUGCCGCAAUCA
rnacentral:tRNA from 3 species